UACGGAGGGUGCAAGCGUUGUUCGGAUUUAUUGGGCGUAAAGGGCGUGUAGGCGGCUCGUUAAGUCUGAUGUGAAAGCCCCGGGCUCAACCCGGGAAGUGCAUUGGAAACUGGCGAACUUGAGUACGGGAGAGGGCAGUGGAAUUCCUAGUGUAGGAGUGAAAUCCGUAGAUAUUAGGAGGAACACCGGUGGCGAAGGCGGCUGCCUGGACCGAUACUGACGCUGAGACGCGAAAGCGUGGGGAGCAAACAGG
rnacentral:rRNA from 1 species